GGCUCACCAAGGCGACGAUGCGUAGCCGACCUGAGAGGGUGAUCGGCCACACUGGGACUGAGACACGGCCCAGACUCCUACGGGAGGCAGCAGUAGGGAAUCUUCCGCAAUGGACGAAAGUCUGACGGAGCAACGCCGCGUGAGUGAUGAAGGUUUUCGGAUCGUAAAACUCUGUUGUUAGGGAAGAACAAGUUGGGUAGUAACUGACCCAACCUUGACGGUACCUAACCAGAAAGCCACGGCUAACUACGUGCCAGCAGCCGCGGUAAUACGUAGGUGGCAAGCGUUGUCCGGAAUUAUUGGGCGUAAAGCGCUCGCAGGCGGUCCUUUAAGUCUGAUGUGAAAUCUCGCGGCUCAACCGCGAACGGUCAUUGGAAACUGGAGGACUUGAGUACAGAAGAGGAGAGUGGAAUUCCACGUGUAGCGGUGAAAUGCGUAGAGAUGUGGAGGAACACCAGUGGCGAAGGCGACUCUCUGGUCUGUAACUGACGCUGAGGAGCGAAAGCGUGGGGAGCGAACAGGAUUAGAUACCCUGGUAGUCCACGCCGUAAACGAUGAGUGCUAGGUGUUAGGGGGUUUCCGCCCCUUAGUGCUGAAGUUAACGCAUUAAGCACUCCG
rnacentral:rRNA from 1 species